GAUGUGUUCAGAAUGGAUGCGCAAUGAAUCCUUCUUAAGUUGAGGUACAGCUGGAUCCAGAGGCUCAUCCCUGAUGGAUCACAGAGAAAACCCUCGGUUGUCCUCCACCCAGGAUGGAACUGCUUCUAACUGUUCUGGAGAAUUCCUGGCAAUCCCAGUUCCUCUGCUGCUGCUGCUGCUGCUGCUUCUGCUGCUCCCAAGAAAGUGGGACGCCUCCCUUCCUGUACUCUUCCCUUCCCUGACCUGGCAGAGCCCAGCCAACAGCAUUGGUCAGUUCUGCCUUUGAUAAAGAAAAAUGUCGAAGUUUCCCUCUGUCACAUAAAAUGAAGAUGUGGGUGCUGUGUGUUGCUUUCCGUUCAGCAGUUUCUCAGCGGCCUGGCCAGCACACCACCAUGAAGGCAUUGAUUUAUUCCAUCUAAUACACAGCACUGCUUAUUAGUGCUCUCAAUCUGACAAGAAAUAUUGAGCCUACCGCCGAGGUUUUACAAAAAUAUGAAUACAUCCCUAUCUGGACUCUGAGCUAAGAGAGCAUUUUGCCCACUGAAUGGGAAACCGAGACAGGGAAAUGACAAGCGACUGUGCUGAGGCUCGGGUGGGCCCUGCUUGUCCUUCAUUGCCUCCUCCAGCUUAUCUUGCCUGGACGCCUCCUCUGAAAUCCUCACUGUAUUAUUCAGGACUCUGGGUUGCGAGUGACAGAAACCCAACUCAAAUGAGCAUGAGCAAAAACAAGGGAAUUGGCUGGGCUUAGUGGCUCACACCUGUACUCGCAGCACUUUGGGAGGCCGAGGGAGGUGAAUCACCUGAGAUCAGGAGUUCGAGACCAGCCUGGCCAACGUGGUGAAACCCCAUCUCUAUAAAAGUACAAAAAAAUUAGCCAGGCAUGGUGGCAGGCACCUGUAAUCCCAGCUACUUGAGAGGCUGAGGCAGGAGAAUCACUUGAACCCAGGAGGCAGAGGUUGCAGUGAGCAGAGAUCGCACCAUUGCGCUCCAGCCUGGGCAACAAGAGCGAAACUCCAUCUCAAAAAAAAAAAAAAAGACACACACACUCACAAGAGAAUUUACUAAGCUACAGGCAUGGCUGAAUCUGCCACACCCCACACCCCCCACGUCUCUCUAUCUCUGGGAUCUGCUGUGCUGUGGUGGAGGGGACUUCAUUCUUAAGCAGGGCCUCUCCCAUCUUAGCCCCUGGAAUUUGCAAAACACAUCCUUACUGCUCAGCAGCUUCGACAGAGAGAGGAUGACUCUUUCCCAGACUUUUCAGUAGACAUCCUGGGAGUAAUGUUCACUAUCUUUGAUUGGAUCAGUUUUGAUCUUGGAUCUAGGGUCUAGGCUAAGGGUGUCCAAAAUCUUUUGGCUUCCCUGGGCCACACUGGAAGAAGAAUUGUCUUGGGCCACACAUAAGAUACACUAACACUGACGAUAGCUGAUGAGCUAAAAAGAGAAAGAAAGAAAAUCACAAUGCCCUAAAAAAGUUUACAAAUUCGUAUCGGGCUGCAUUCAAAGCCAUCCUGGGCUAAUGCACAGCCCACGUGCCCUGGGUUGGACAAGUAUGGUCUAGACCAAUCCCGCCACUUGAUUCUGCCUGGCCCACAACCUAAGAAUGCUAUUCACACAUUUAAAUGGUUGAAAAAAAACAAAGGAAGAGCAAUAUAUCAUGACCUGUGAAAGUUACAUGAAAUUCACGUUUCAGUGUCCAUAAAGACUUAUUGGAACCCAAGCGUGCUCAUUCCUUUAGGGCUUGUCGAAGGCCGCUUUUGUGCUACAGUGGCAGAGUUGAAUAGUCAAGGUGGACUAUAUGGCUUGCACAGCUGAAAAGAUAUUUAUUCAUCUAAAAUUUUAUUUUAAAAAUUGAUAAUGAAUAAUUUACUUAAUCAUAAAUAAAAGAUAAAAUUAAUAUUCUAUUUACUCAUCUUUAUAGAAGAAGCUUGCCAACCCCUGGUCUAGACUGUGUAGCCAGUGAGAUGCCUCAGUCGAGUGCCCAUCCUUGGAGUGGGUUGAGGCAGAGGGAGUGAACCACUCACCGAGUUGGACCAUGGCGUGACAGUGGCAGUGGGUUUCUAGCAGACAGCAGGUAUCCAUGCUGGACAGAAAGAACAAUGAGUGUCCAUGCCCCCCCACUGUCUUGGGCUGGGAUCUCCUAGAAACAGACCCUGAAACAAAUGU
rnacentral:lncRNA from 1 species